rnacentral:misc_RNA from 1 species
AGAAAUCCUACUCCUGUGUGGAUUUAAAGAUUUUUUUUCUGAAUAUAUAUUACAUCAACACCACCUCCAUCGUCUCUGAUCCAGGUGCGCCAACGCGUCCGAGAUUGCUUCACAGAAAGCUGAAACUACAGAGAUGAAGAUUAUUUUAUCAGCUUCUUUCAUGAUGGGCACCAUAAUAAGUUUAUUUCCUCGAGAAUACAAAUAUGGAAUCCAGUUCCGAACAUAUUUCAUGCCUUUGUGAUUUGCAUCAUCUUUUCCUUCACGGGUUUCUUUUUUCUAUUUGAUGAUUGAAAACAAGCUCAAGCUUGCCAAAUUCUGCAAGUACUACUCGAUGAUUUAUGUGAUAUUGGCUUUAUUGAUGCUUCUCUAUGUUUUGUUUUU